UACGUAGGCAGCAAGCGUUGUUCGGAGUUACUGGGCGUAAAGAGUGCGUAGGUGGUGCCCUAAGUCUGUUGUGAAAUCUCCCGGCUUAACUGGGAGGGUGCGGUGGAAACUGGGGUGCUUGAGUGUGGGAGAGGUAAGCGGAAUUCCUGGUGUAGCGGUGAAAUGCGUAGAUAUCAGGAGGAACACCGGUGGCGAAGGCGGUUCUCUGGGACGGUACUGACGCUGGAGACGCGAAAGCGUGGGGAGCGAACAGG
rnacentral:rRNA from 1 species